rnacentral:lncRNA from 1 species
UUAUAUUUUCCUUUAAUUGCCACUUCAUUUGAGAUACAUGAAUAUUGCCUCAGAUGUUAGAAAAGUUUGUUCGACACCAUACACUAAUGGAUUUCAAUUAUAUUUUGUCAGUUACUAAAGCCUGUAAUUUGUCUUCAGGGCAUGGUGGCAUGGGGGCUAUGAUUGCUGGAGGUGCUGCUGCAGCUGCAGCUGCAUAUGGUGCUCACCACAUCUCUCAUGGUGCUCACCACUCAUCUCAUGGUGCUCCCUUUGGGUAUGGUUCGCACAAACAUGGCAAGUUCAAGCACCAUGGUGGUAAGUUCAAGCACCAUGGUGGCAAGUUCAAGCAUGGGAAGCAUGGGAAGCAUGGAAAACAUGGAAUGUUUGGAGGAAAGUUUAAGAAGUGGAAGUGAAAAGCAUGGUGGUUUCACUGGAUAUGGACUCUUAACUGACUUUGGUGCUGCCGAUUUAAGUUUCUCUGAAUAAACCAUACAUCUGUUUCACAGCCAGAGUUUUUUUUUUCUUCCUUUUGGCCAUCUGUUUAUGUGGAAACUGCUAUAUUAUGAUUACGAUAUAUUGGAAUUGCAGAAUGGUUUUACAAUUUCCAGAUAUUUAGCAUUGAUUAUAUCGACUUUUUUAGAGUCAGUUGAUGACACUGACAUACUGAUAUACUUGCGGUUCUAAUAAGCUAUUUACGGCUGGAUACAAUGCGGAUUCUCCAAGGGUAAAAGACAUAAUGUGGCGAGAAUGAAGCUUAAUUGCAUAAUCAAAGGCUUGGUUCCAGAUGCCUACUUUCGGCAGUUUGUUUAUUGGUUAUUUGAUCAGACAUGCCUUGCUUUGGGAAUUAGUCCUGUUUUAUAUCCCGAAUAUGGACCCUUUAUUUUUUGCGGCGGUGGUG